rnacentral:tRNA from 1 species
GUUGAGAUGGUCGAGAUGGUCUUAGGCCCCAGAGUAAAGAUCUGGUUCGAAAGAGCGUGAGUUCAAAUCCCACACUCAACA